UAGCCAUAUGCUUCGUUCAAGGGCUAAGCCAUGCAUGUCUCAAAGCAAAUGGUUAAAAACAGUGGGUCUGUGAAUGGCUCCUUACAUCACCAGUCACCUGGGUGGUAAUUCCAACACAGGGGGACAUCCUCCAAAACCUGGGGGCUAAUACCCAAAUCAACUGGCCCACACAAAAGGAAGGGUGUACAAGUGUGCACUCUGUGUGUGGAGCUUGCUACCAGCUUAAAUACAAACUGGCACCCACAACCUGAGCCUAUCAAAGUUGUACAGGGUAAAUUGUUGUUGACCCAGGCUGGUGACACUAACAGCUUUGGCACUCUUAAAUGGUGUUCAAUUACACCACUUGCUUGACCACCCGGGCUUCUGACCUAUCAGCUAAACUGUGGUGCAA
rnacentral:rRNA from 1 species